GGAGGAGUACUCAAGUUUGGCUGAAGAGAGCGGUCUUGAAAACCGCCAGGGGGUUAACGCCCCGCGGGGGUUCGAAUCCCUCCUCCUCCGCCA
rnacentral:tRNA from 1 species